rnacentral:rRNA from 1 species
UUGCAAUAAACUGGUGGCUGCGACUGUUUAAUAAAAACACAGCACUCUGCAAACACGAAAGUGGACGUAUAGGGUGUGACGCCUGCCCGGUGCCGGAAGGUUAAUUGAUGGGGUUAGCCGCAAGGCGAAGCUCUUGAUCGAAGCCCCGGUAAACGGCGGCCGUAACAAUAACGGUCCUAAGGUAGCGAAAUUCCUUGUCGGGUAAGUUCCGACCUGCACGAAUGGCGUAACGAUGGCCACACUGUCUCCUCCCGAGACUCAGCGAAGUUGAAA